rnacentral:tRNA from 1 species
GUUUUUAUAGUGUAAACAACACAUUAUCUUUUCGAGAUAAAAAUAAUCUAAUUUAAAAACA